rnacentral:rRNA from 1 species
UGGGGAAUAUUGCACAAUGGGCGCAAGCCUGAUGCAGCCAUGCCGCGUGUAUGAAGAAGGCCUUCGGGUUGUAAAGUACUUUCAGCGAGGAGGAAGGCGGUAAGGUUAAUAACCUUAUCGAUUGACGUUACUCGCAGAAGAAGCACCGGCUAACUCCGUGCCAGCAGCCGCGGUAAUACGGAGGGUGCAAGCGUUAAUCGGAAUUACUGGGCGUAAAGCGCACGCAGGCGGUCUAUCAAGUCGGAUGUGAAAUCCCCGGGCUCAACCUGGGAACUGCAUUCGAAACUGGCAGGCUAGAGUCUUGUAGAGGGGGGUAGAAUUCCAGGUGUAGCGGUGAAAUGCGUAGAGAUCUGGAGGAAUACCGGUGGCGAAGGCGGCCCCCUGGACAAAGACUGACGCUCAGGUGCGAAAGCGUGGGGAGCAAACA